UACGUAGGGGGCAAGCGUUAUCCGGAUUUACUGGGUGUAAAGGGAGCGUAGACGGCAGCGCAAGUCUGGAGUGAAAUGCCGGGGCCCAACCCCGGAACUGCUUUGGAAACUGUGCAGCUCGAGUGCAGGAGAGGUAAGCGGAAUUCCUAGUGUAGCGGUGAAAUGCGUAGAUAUUAGGAGGAACACCGGUGGCGAAGGCGGCUUACUGGACUGUAACUGACGUUGAGGCUCGAAAGCGUGGGGAGCAAACAGG
rnacentral:rRNA from 1 species